CUGCAAGUCAUAUAAUCACAAAUAUACGAGCUCCAAUAUUUAACGGAAUUGCAAAAAAAUUGACAUUAUAAACCUAUCAUAUGGCCUAUCACCUACAAAAGAAAUCCUCAUUUAAACAACUCAGAUGCUGUUAGGUAGCCAAUGCUACUUUGUUGAUAGUGCAGAAUAAUACUGCUUUCAUAACAGAGGCUUCUAAUUUCACAGUCUAUAAUAAUCUCUCACUAUAAUUGACAAAGCUGGAUAUCUCUAAUUGUCUGGAAGGAACUUCAAAAAAUAAUUAAUGAUCCAUUUUCUUGUUUACGCCUCGAAUGGAUAAACACAUGGACAAUACUAGAGUCUCAUUGCAGUAAGAGAUCCUGGAUUGGUUCAUACUCUGAAACAUUGAUUAAUCCCUUCAUAGGUGAUAACAUUUAUCAUACGUAUCGACGAUUUGGCAAGUUGAUGUAUCUCUGAAAUAUUUAAAUGACAAGGGAAACAAGGAAAGGCAUACAGCUGCAUAAGCAUGCAGACACAACACCAAAGAAACAGACAUACUCCCCCGCCUACCAGACCAUAUCCGCAUAAGAAUGUGACAAUAUGUCACCAUCAUCUCUUAUUUCCACAGAAGCAGGAAGCUGAUGUUUAAUGUACUUGCAUUAAAACAUGCAUCAUCCACUGGAAUACAAUAAAUCAGGUUUUAAAGGUUAUGACAUAAAAGAAAGGCCUUUCAACAAACAAACCUGUUCUCCAUCAAACAAAUUCCCAAGAUUUAGUCCUUUAGACAUAGAAAUUAACUCGAAUGCAUUCAUAGCUGUUGGUUGCUCCUCUUCCUUCUUCUCUGUUACAUGGUGUUCCUGUUGCAAGGACAGCAGUAAGAUUUAAUAAACAAUAUUGUCAAGAAGUGCAAGAAAUUGUUAACACUUCCUUCAAACUGUGUACUACUUUUUUUUUUUGCUAGUUCAAGUAUAAAGAGCUCGUCUUAAACUCACUUCUGAGUCCUUAAAAACAGCUUCAACAUCAUCCAAGUUGGUGUCCUCUUUCUCUUCAAACACAGGAGGCUUAUAACCUUUCUUAAACCAUUCAUCUACCAGGAUUUCAGGUAUGGUGAUGCGCUGCCAUAAAAACAAAUAGUAAAUUGAGAAAAAUUAUAAAACAAUAUGAAGUUGUGAGUAAUGUUAAUAUUUCCAUGCAUUGAGGCCAAUAUAAAGUACUUAAAAUCCCAGACUUCUUGGAACAUACUUAAAAAAAAAAAAGAAGGUCUAACAGCAUAUGCAUGAUGCGGCCAAUGCAUAAGCAGUACACAAAGAAUCAGAAGCAAUAUCUGACCUAGGUAAUGCAAACAUCAUGACAUUUUUUACACAUCACUUGCAGAUUAGAGAAGUUGUCCAGGCAUCCUAAUGAUAUCCACUGCAGUAACAACCUUUCAGUGUUCCAACCUUGCUACCUGAUCAAAUCUCUAGAAGAUUUAAUCUCAGUUACGCAACAUUCACAUGCUAGACUCUGGGAAGCUUUUACAUAAAGUUCUAUUUAAAGUAUAGAUGCAACAAAUUAGCAUGAUAACUGGAUAGGCUCUAUUUGUCCAACAACAGUGUUAUGGCAGCUUUGGGAUCAGAGUAGCUAUUCCUUUUGCCAAUUAUGAUGAAAAGAAUAAACAUAACUUAAAAUGCACAUAGCGUUCUUUGCAGUGAUUCAUCAUAUAUAAAUUUCUGAGACUCAUUUUGAUGAACUUUUGGUAGCAUCUAAGAAGAGAAAUUUUGGUAGAAUUCUCUCUUACUUUUUGAAAAGAAGAGUUGUCAACCACUAGUUAAUGUAGAAAUCCUUUCUUUUUUCCUCCAUUCUAAGAUGCAGGAAAUGUAUUAUAAUCAGAAGCUCAAGCAAGGAAUGUUAAUAAAGCAUAACUACUCACAGUCAUAGGGUUGGGAUCCAAAAUUCGAGUUAUCAAUUUCAUGGCACCAAAAGAGAGCCAAGGGGGGCAAGUAAAUUCAGCUGCUGAGAUCUGUAUUUGGCAGAAGUUAAGUGAAAACCAGAGGGCACAGGCAAGGGGUAGAACAGUUCUAUCAAUUUGUAAAAUGCUCACUUUUUUAUACAGGUUCAUAACAUUUGAAUCAUCGAAAGGCAAAUACCCUGCUAGCAAUACAAAAAGUAUCACUCCACAUGACCACAAAUCUGCAGUAGUCCCAUCGUAACCUCUAUCAUUAAGAACCUAAACAGCAACACAAAAAAUAAUUAGAGGUAUAAAUGUGCGUAAGGCUUAAAAGGCAAACAUAUAUGAUCAAGAACUGUAGCAUAUAAACCGUCAUCCAAACCUCAGGAGCAACAUAAUUUGGAGUUCCACAAGUUGUAUGAAGCAGGCCAUCAUCCUGCCAAAAAAAACCGGUUAGUAAAAAAAAUUGCUUUCCUUGCAAUAGUCACAGAAGAGACUUUAAAAAACAACAAAAAUAUUAUUUCCAUGAAAAAAAAAAGUAACUGUAAGGAAAUAGUUCUUAUCAGUAGCCUUAAACAGGAUUAAUUUCUGCCAGGCCUAUUUUUAUUGGCAAAGCUUGUAUUUGAGAAUAAGUAUAGCAUAGGCCUCUUUCCUUAUUCAUAAGCUUCAGUACAUCCCAGCCUGCUUUAAUGAAGGUCGUUAUUUUGAACCAAUCAAAUUGAUAAUAUCCAUAAUAGGGACUUGGUUGGCAGAAUGAUGUCUAUAAGAAGACUUCAAAUGAGAUGAAGAAUUGAUGGUAGUUACCCUGACUUGUUGGGACAGCGCACUCAACCCAAAAUCUGAAACUUUGAGGUUCCCAUAAGCAUCCAACAACAAAUUUUCUGGCUGCAACACCCAAUAAAAAAAGCAAAAGAACAAUGAAGGUCAUGAUGAACAAAAUAUAUACAUAAACAACCUAUUUACAUGUUACAAGGUGAUUAAAGUUCUGAGUACCUUAAGGUCUCUGUGAAAAACACCCCUGCUGUGGCAAUAGUCCACUACAUUGAUAAGCUGCUGGAAAUAUCUCCGAGCUUCAUCUUCUCUCAUCCGUCCAUGGUUUACCUUUGUAGAAUUAAAACAGAAAAAUUAUACAUGCAAAGAAAUGCUCCGUAAUUGGUAUGAAAAUAAAGAGUCAAAAGAAACUUCCAGUCCUUUUAAUGUUUUGGUUCCAAUCAACACAAGAUUGCAUUAUUAUAAACAAAAACAAAUGCACUGAUGAUUACAACUAAGAUUGUAAUUGUCAAUGAUAAGGAGAUAAGCCUUAACAGGUGUACAACAAAUUUCUAGUACUUGUAAUAGCAUCCAACAUGUAAUUCCCAUAACUCUACCGAGGAUAUUGAGCCAGUAAAACUGGUGGAGCAUAAACUAGUGGAAAAACAAAAGGUUUGAUAACAAUACAAAACUUACAAUUUUGUCAAAAAGCUCUCCCCCGGUGACAAACUCCAAAACAAUAAAUAUCUUUGUCUUACUUCCCAUCACCUGAAAAUCAACAUUUGUUUUCUGCUAAAGCUUAGAGGAAGAUUUAUAUCAAAAUACUGCUUUACAUAACACAAUUAAGAUAGCUACUGACUCUUUGAAAUAAAGUUUAGUUCGAGGCUAAAAUAGGCAAAAAGAUCACAAGGUCAAACCUAACAAUUAUUUAGAAAUCAAAUGUUAGUUAAGGUAACUUUUACAAGCAUGCUUGAUUCCGUCACUAUUUCUAUACAAGACAAUCCUUCAUUCUUUACACUGAUGCUAGAACUUAACUCAUAUGGAAAAAAUGGGACAACUGGAUACUGAACAAAAUUACUGUUCAUAGUCUUGGCCAAAAACAUGUAAGAACAGAACCAGAAAAUCUGAUGUUGCUCCCAUUUGGUAGAGAAGGAUGCAAAGGAAGACUAAUUAUAAGGAUAAGCAUAAAGCAUAUAGCUCCCAUUUGGUAGAGAAGGAUGCAAGGGAAGACUAAUUUUAAGGAUAAGCAUACAGCAUAUAGCUUGUAAUAAAUGCUGAAGACAGAGAGGGACCUCAUAUAAUCGAACAACAUUUGGAUGCUUGAUAAGCUUCAUUGUCUCAAUCUCCCGCUUGAUCUGUCAGAACAACGGCAAUUUUAGAAUUCUGGGACAAUAUUGGAACACCUUUUCUGGUGGUAGCAAAUAUAUAAAAUAAAAGAAGUCUGUAGGAUCCAAAAGGGAAAAAAGGGCCAGAAUCUUCCAGAAGUGUACGAGAAAGCAAUUGAAAAACAAACAUAGAUAAUGCAUAUAGUAUCAGUUUCUCUUGAGACAUGUAAAGCAGUGAGAAACAAACAAUUUUUCAUAAAAAGAAUUGACUAACCAGACCUGUUCAGCCAUCUUGUGUUUGAGAACCUUCUCUUUAUCAAGGAUCUUCAGGGCCACAGGUUCCCCUGUCUCAGAAUUCCUCGCAAACUUUACUUUUGCAAACGUUCCUUCACCAAUUGUCCUUCCCACUUCAUAUUUACCCACUCUACGCUUGAUUUUAGGUUGACUCAUGCUUUGUUUAUGGGUUCAACACUCUUAUUCUUGCAGUUAUGCAAACUUCUAACUCUUCCUGAAAUGCAUAAGAAAGUGUAAGUGCCAGACCAAUACAGCAAUAAAGUUCAAUAAACAUGGGAUCUGUUGAGCAUAUCCCCAAUUGUGAAGAAAUGGUCAAGACUUGGCUGGUUCUGGAUGAUUUUAAGGUUUGCAUUACAUAUUCUGGAGAUUACAACAAUCAAAAACCUUUCCAUAAAGUAUAGCUCAAUUAAAUAGCAAAUCAACCAAUACAAAGAAACAACAAAGACUAAAAAUGCCAUAAAAUGUGAACACAAGGAACUUACAGCAUGAUAGAAAAGAAAAAAAAAAGCCACACUAUGCAGAAAAGAUCUACAUCAACAACCUAAUGAGAAAGCAAACAAACUAAUCCAAAGUGAUAAUAACCAAUGAGAAGCUAGAAAACACCCUGCCCAGUUGCCAUUUUAUCAGUACAGUGAAUAGAUCAGGUUGCCGAAACAUAACCAGAAAUAAAACCAGAAGGAGGUGAAACAAAACGACAAAAAACAAGUAUCUAAGUUGAAAAUCUUGAACUGGGAAAACAAAGAACUUAAAAAUGUCUUCACCAAUUAAGACAGAUACUGAAAACUCAAUCAAAUCAAGAUUUAGUGAAUUAACCUCAAAUCCAAUUGCAACCAGAGCCACCAAAAUGCCCACGGAAGUGGAAUUUAGACCAGAAACAUCUCAGUAGUCAAUCAAAGACUGCUUAUAAAAGCAACUAAAUAAAUACUUUAUAGUUUAUAAUUAACAAAUAAAAAAUGAGUUUAAAACAACUAAACAGAAUCUUCCUCUGAAACACCAUGUUAAAAAUAAGAAACUAUAGCUGAAGUUCAAGAAACUCAAGGGACCUCAAAGUUCUUGCCAACUUUACAAAUUCCCACCUCCAAAAACAAAAACCCAAAUCAAAUUGUACAAAAACUAACACAUUAAAAAGCAAAGAUAGGACCUUUUCCAAAAACAAAAGCCCAAGAAUUAUACUGGAAUGAAGGAAAGAAAAGGCCUCUUGUGGUAAUAAAAAGAAGGAAGCUUUUAGCUUCAGAGAGAUAAAAAAACAAUAAGUAAAAAAGUCAAAGACGAGUUUCAAAGCAAAUUCAACAUAGAAAACAUAUCUUACACAAUGGAUAAAUAAUGACUAUUAAAAUAAUAACAAUGAUUAGAAGGAGAGAGAGGAUAUACUUGAGCAAGACUUUUUAAAUACGGGGACUGAGAGAGGCAGAGAGAUAAGCAAGAAAGGCUGGAAAUUAUUGCUUUAGAAUCGGCUUUUGAGAUGACUGAAAAGGCAAGGAUAAGGCAAAGGAAACGGCAAUGAGUGAGACUGGUUUUGAUGAUUUAUAGUAAGUAACCUUGUUGAUGACGAUCACCUCCUGGCCUCUGCAACCAGACAAAUGGUUGCCUACUACUGUACUCUACUCUACCUGUCUUAAUUUUACUGCCAUAAUUUACUUGCUUACAGCAACACAAGCACGUGUCUACUAAUGUAAGUAGUGAGAACAAAUAGUUGAUGUUAGCUGGCUGGCAGGAGUUUAGUAGGAAAGAAAUAUGCCUCCGAUCUGUUGAUGAUUUUGCUGACGUCUUCAGAUUUUUGCUUAAUUGGGUUUGCCUAAAGGUGUGUUUGGAGGAGGUAACUUGUGUUUUUUUAAAUAAAAAGUAUGUUUUUAUAGUUUUUGAAGGUGUAGUUUAUACUUAAAUAUAUUAUAUUUUUAAAACAAAUCACCACAUUUCCAAGCUAAACACAGGCCACUUGGGGUUUGAAUCUAAAUUAUAAUGGACGGCAACGGGUGUCUAUGACUCGUGUAUCUACUAUAUUUAUAUUCUACUCUUAGUCGUUAAGAUGUUUAGAUAUAUAUUAUAUUCAUGGCCCCACAUGUCGGAACAAACUUUUUUUUUACCUAAAAAAAUUUAGAAGACAAUUAUGUAAAAAAAAAAAAAAAAAUUGAUAAUCAAGUUAUAUCUCAAUUAAUUUAAUAAUAUAAUAAAAAAAUAGGUAACAACAACAACAAAUAAACUAAAAAAAAAAACCUCGAGUAAAGCUGUGUUAACAUGUAAAACAUGUGAUCAAAAAGCCUCGAGUAAAGUUGUGUUAACACGUAAAACAUGUGAUCUGGCAUAUAAGAUUUAAAUAACCAUGUAGAAGAACGGUUCCAGUAAAAAUCAAUUGUAAAAAAGACAUGAAAAAAAAAUAUUUAAGCUAACUCGACUCAAUUUUUUAAACUUGUGACCCGUAAAGUUAACAAAAUCUUGAUCAUUAAAAUGUUGAGAGAUGAGAUCGAAAAAAAAAGUCCUGAUAAAAAAAGAUUGAAAACAAAACAAAUAACAAUCAAAAGAAUAAGGACUAAAUCUGAUAUAAAAUAAAAUGAACUAAAAUAUUGAUGGAUGCAAUUGAAAAAAUGAUUCAAUUAAGAGAAUGAUAUAAAAUAUUGAGAAAUGCAAUUGAAAAGAUAAUUUAAUUAAAAGAAUAAUUUUAAAAAAUCAAAAUCAAAAGAAUAGAAACCAAAUUUGAAAACUGAAAAAACCAAAGGAGGAUUGAAUUGAAAGAAAAUCUCAAUUAUAUGGAUAAUCUAAAAUAAAACAGAUAACAAUAAAAAAAAUACAUUGAAAAAUGUGCAGGGGUUAGUUUUUAAAUUGAGGAAGAGAAAAAAAAAAAAAUAGACACCGACGCAAAACCCAACAUAUUUUUUCCACAUGCAUCGCUCAGGAUUGGAGGUUAUGUCAUGGGGAUUAAAAUGUCGUUGUGAAAGCUGGAGUUUGGCUACCGGAUAAGCUGGAGUUUGGCUAAGGGAAUAAAUACAAUUUAUUAUUCAUAUCUCAUUUUAAAUUUUAAAUUUUAAAUUUUACAAGAAGAUAAAAAAACAAAAACUCACUCUAAAUUACAGAAUUCAAUACUGAAUUAGUCUCGCAUUGUAAAACUAACCAAAUGAGACUUGGAAUAAAUAUUUAUUUACAUAAUAAUAACAAAAAAUGGAUGCAUGGUGUGUUACUCGUGCGAUAAAAACAAUGCAAUAAAAAAUUAUAAAAAAAAAUAACAACAGCAAAACGGUUGACUCAAAAGGCUUUUUUCUUCUUCGAUUAUUUUUUAGUUUGUGAAAGUAACGUAAUGCAUUAGUCUUAUAUGAUAACAUUAAUUAAAUUAUCAAUGGUGUGUUAAUCGUGUAAAUUGUAAUGUAAAAUGGGAGGCCGGACCACGUGGCCAUGUGGGUGGUUUCCGUUGUUGUUGAAACUAGUGGUUGGACUGAAACCGCUGCAAACAACCAUUCAUAUAUAUGAAGACAUGACGACAAAGGCAUUUCUUUAUUACCGAACCUCUCGCGGUCAUGCCUUCUUUGGGUUAAAACGGCAUUCAUGGCGGUCAUGUCUUCUUUGGGUUAAAACGGCAUUCAUGGCGGUCAUGUCUUCUUUGGGUUAAAACGGCAUUCAUGGCGGUCGUAUGUCUAUCACUCCUAACAUUUGGGACCAUUUUACUCUCAGGCAAUCCGACACCACCAGCGUAUGUUUGGUAAUGUUGUCUAACAUCCGUAGGAAAGAUACGUUUGGUAUAUAAUAAUGUAAAUAUAUAAAAAUAUGGUGGUCAUACAAUCAUUAUAGAGAUCUGAAGUGUAUAUUAAGUAAAUAUGUCAAGUUGUGAAAAAUAAUGGGAAAACAAUCAUAAAUUAAACAAAACAAGUAUUGAAAUUAUACUUAAAUAAAAUUAGUUUAGAUUACUUGUUUAUUGAAGUCUUAAAAAAUAUCUAAUCUGAAAUUUUCUUGUUGUCAAUAAUUAAUUAUUUAUUAUUAAAGUUUUAUUGUUCCUUACUUGAUGCAAAAAGAUUUUCUUUAAUAAAUCUCUCGGGAUUCCAUUAACUCAUUCUUUUUAGGUGCACGCUUUAACAAGGUUUAAUGAACUUAAAUGAAAAAUAAUCAACAUCUCUCUACGAAGAUUGAACUUAAACUCUAGAGAAGAAAUAAAGAAUAGAAUGACAAGGCUUUAGAAAACUUGGAAACCAAAACAUUAAUACUCAUAAUUAUGGAAUUUUUACAAUUCAUGAAUGUUUUAUUAAUUAUGAUAAAUAUUUAUAGUUCAAGAAUUAAUAUUUAGAAUUCAUGAAUGUGUAUAAAUUCAUGAAAGAAUUCAUAGUUCAUGAAUAUCCAAAGCAUUCAUAAUCAUGAAUUACUUAUAAUUCAUGAAAGAACUCAUAAAUGUUCAUAGUAAUAACAAUAAUUUUCAUGACAUAAUUAAUGGAUUGCUUAAUAUAUUAAAAUAUUUUAGGGAUAAAAAUUUUAUUGAUCAAAUAAGGAUUAAAUAACAAAUGUUUUUUAUUUUUCAAAACCAAGCCCAAACUCAUAGCAAAUAUUUUCCUAACUCAUGUAAUUUUCCCAAAACCUUUACCAAACUGUCAUUUAAAAAAAAAAUAUCAUGGUUUUAACCCCAAAUAUGAGUGGACCUCACAUAUAAUUUUUUUAAAUAAACUAGUUUUAAUAAGUAAUGUGGUGUAGAGUGCUUUUCAAAAGUUCUUUUCAAUUGAAAACACAUCAACAUGAUUGUUUUUCAGAGUUUUUAUUAUUUUUGACAUCAACACAUUAAAACAUCGAAAAACUCCUAAAAAACAUAAAUUAUAUGUUUUUUCAUGCAAAAAGCAAUUGCAAAAACAUUUUUAAAAGCAAAAGCUAUAGCGGUACCAAACCAACAUUGAAUCAACUGGUUAUUAACAAAUAUGGUUUGCUUACUAUUAUGUUGUAUCUCAAAUAGCGUUAUUAAACAUGGCCUAACCCAAUAGGUUAACCCGAGACUCGGUCUAUCCAGGGCCUCACUUGGAUUGGGUUUUAAAAAAAAUCAAGUGGCAGUUGACCUGAUCAAACCUGGAUGACCCAACAAGUUAACCCAUGUCCUAGUCGAUUUGGUUGAUCCGAUCAAAAUCCAGUUUAACUAAAAAUAAUAUCGUUUUAAUUUUAAAAAUAAAAUUUUAAAAUGAUAUAAUUUUGGAUUGAUUUGAAUGAACUGCUAUAACUUAGAUCAAAUUUAAAAACUUUGAUAUCAAGUUUAAGGAAAUAAUAUGAUGCACAAUAGAACAAAUUUAUGAACUUACAAUAAUAGUCUGAGCUAUUAUCCUCACUAUUCAUAAGAUAUGGAUGGAAUUAGGGUGUAAUUGAAGUCACGGUUUGAAAGUUCAAAAUAGCUUUUGAAUUUUAAUAAUUAUUUUAUAGAAAUUAUACUAUUUUCUCUAAAAAAUAGCCCCUUCUAAUAUUUUUUUUUAAAUCACCUUGCCUAUGCCAAAAAUUAUUUCACCCUUACCAAAAAAAAUAAAAUUUGGUAUGGUUUUUGUAAAUUAAUUUAAGUUAUUUUUUUAUUUUAAAUUAAAAAAUAUUACAAACAUAGUUGGUUAAAAAAGAUUUAUACUUCGAUCAAAACGUCAUUAUAAAAUUGAGGAAUUUUUUUAUUUUUUUUUUUAAUCUCUAACUUCUUAUUUAUAUUUUUUUUCCAUAAAAAAUCAUUGUAAUCAAUUUUUACCAAAUCUAAUUCUAACUUAACUCAUUUUUAUUGUCAAAUAUUUAUAAAAAUAACUUUUUAAAUUUGAUUCCUGGUCAAAAGUCAUUUUCUCUCAUCUCAAACGUAAUCUUAAUUAUAAUACAAUAGAAGAGUACUCCCUUCCUUGUGUCACCCGAUACCCUUUUGGCCUCCCAUGCAAAAAAUAAAAAAUAAAAAAAAAUGCAAGCUUUGGAUUUUAUUUUUUCUCUUUAACAAUUAUGAAUUGUAAAUUGGGAGGAUUUUUUUUAAUUUAUUUUCUUACAUGAUUAAAAAAGGAUUUUUUUUUCACCCUCGAUUCAUUGCCCAAGUCCAAAUAAGAUUAAAAAAGGGAGAUGGAGAAAGUGCAAUAAAACAAGGGCACAAACUCUUCUGGACGCACAAGGAUCAACAUGUUUGCUGCAACACUUUCAAUAUAAGAGAUUAGUUCCUUUUUAGAGAACAAAAAAAAUAAGGAUUUUUGUUAAAGCAGGUUAUAUUCUAACCCGACCAAAAAAAAAAAAUAAUAGAUAAAUAAAUAAAUAAGUAAGCAAGCAUUUGGAGGGGUAAAAUUAAACAAAAGAAAGUUAUAAGACAUUAAUUUAUUGGGAAAGAAAGGAUGAGGACAAAUUUAAAAAAUGCUAAACAAAAAAGGUCAAUGUGCAAAUUUAAAAGAUGAGACUAUAUAAAUGCCCAUCUUUUUUUCUUUUGGCCUAUGGCUAGAAGCCAUAUAUAAGAGAGGGAAAUGAUUUGUGUGAUUUUUUUCCUUGCAAAUUAUAUAUAUAUAUAUAUAUAUAAAGAGAAGUGUAAUUAGAGUGAUUAGCACUUAAAAAAAAAGAAUUAAGAGGGGUGAUUUAGUGCUUGGAACUUCUUUCGAAGAAAUAAAUCUAAAGCUAGGGUUUAAAAAGGGAGAAGAAGGAAACUUGAAUUUUUCUUGCAUCCAUUCCUUGAAUCUUUAUCCAAGUAAGUUGAAGACCAUGUUUAGAAUGAUUCAUUGUUAUAAUUUUGUGUUUUGAUGAAGAAAUUAAAUUGCUAUGAUUAUGUGAAUUUGGGGAUUUAUGGUGUUAAUUAUUGAAAUGAUGCAAUUUAUGAUUGAACUAUAUUAGGAAGCAUAAAUUAUUAAUGGGUAAGUGUUUAAUUUAGAAAUGGAAGAAACAAACCCCUCCCCCUUUUUUUGUUAUUGGUCUCGGCAAAAGGAGAAGUUUUGGGAGAUUGAAGAAUUUAAUACAAUUAUUUAGGAAUUGUGGGAAUUUAUGGGCUUAUAAAUGUUAAUAAAUGGAAUGGUGAAGGACGUUAAAAAAAUAAAAUAUUCACCCUUUUUCCUCGAAGGAAUUUCGGCCAUGACAUAUAAAAAGGAGAAAAAGAAUUUUGACUUGGAUUAUUGUUAAUAUAAAAGAGUGAUUUUAGAUGAAUCGGAUGGAUUGUUGGAGAAUUAGGAAGUCAAUUUUGAUGAAGGGUUAAAAAGGAGAAUUUUAUUCUUCUUAACUUAAAAUGAAAUGAGAUUUUUAUCAUUUGGUUAUGAAUAAUAAUUAACAUGUUGAUUUUUGUGCUGGUGCAGAAGAGGUCGCAGGACCUAAUCAGCAACAGGGGACCACUUCACGUCCACAAACACCAGGUAGGUGUUAAAUACCUUAUAAUAAAUUAAUUGUUUAAGUUAGUAUUUUAGAAGAAAUUUCCUUUGAUUGUAAUUUUAAUGUAGAAAUUGUGAAAUAAAAAGAAUGGAAAUAAUGCCCUAUUAAAUAAAUGGGCGUGCCGAAAGAAUAUUUCCUGGUUAAUGAAAUUAAUGCCAUGUUAAAUAAAUGGGCAUGCCGAAAGAUUAUUUUCUGACUAAUGGAAAUAAUGCCUUGUUAAAUAGGUACGUUGAAAGAUUAUUUCCUGGUUAAUGGAAAUAGUGCCCUGUUGAAAUGGGCACAUUGGUUGAACUAUUUCCUUUUCUUUCUUACCUGAACUUCAGAUAUAAUGUACUAAUUAAUGGACAACUUGAGAAAGUCAUAUCCUGAUUAAUGAAGAAGAUAUCUAGUACAUCAUUGGCAAAAAUGAAAUUUAAAUUAAAUUAAUAUAUUGACGAUAAGUACUUCAUUUAAUGAGCUAGUGCGUAUAUUAUUGUGUAUACUUCAAAUAGCCCUUGUUUAAAUUGUGUAUUAUUAAUAAGUGUAAAUUUUCUAGUUUUUACCAAAUGUUCACAUGUUAUAUAAAUAUGUUGAUAGGUACAUCACACCCUCGAACUGGAAAGUAGAAGCAUAGAUAGAAAUCCUUGUUUAAGUUAAUUUUUGUAUUGAAAAUAUUGAUAUUAUGUUUUAUAUCGCCUGUAUGUUAAGAAAUUUUAAAAUGGUUAAAUUAUUCUUUUGUCGGGUAUGUAAUUAAGAACAAUGCCCUUACUUUAACUGGUAAUAUAGUUUUGUUGUAUUUAUAUUUGAAUGUGUUUGUGUCCUAAGAAAUUAAUGUUAUUGUAAAUAAAUUAGUUUUAAAUAUUGUAUAUAAAAUCAUACAAUGUUAACUAUAAAAAAAAUAAAUGAAACUAUAGGGGAUAUGGAAAUUGAUGUGUUUAGUAGAGUUGCGAUGCUUAUUUAUAUUGGGAUGAGUUUGUGGUUAUUAUUUACAAGUUUUGAUUUUACAUCGAUAACUUAGUAUUGAAAAUACAAAGGAGACUCUGCCGAAAUUUUUAGAAAAUAUUUACUUGAAAAGAGACCAAUUAACUCUUUUAAAUAACCUUUUUUUGGGGCCUUGACAAUUUUUGAUAUUCUUAUAAAGUUUUUCAAAUGAUUAAGUUUGUCUAUUCUAUUCCAAAGAUUAAUGAAAAUGAAAAUUUUAAAGAAAAUAUAAUAUUUUAUUAACUUUUAAUUACAAGUCCAAGACAUAAGUCCAAUUUACUAUUUUAUUAACUACGCGACGGGCCAACCUUUGUUUUGACAUAAAAAAUAUUAAAAAAAUAAAUAUGGCUUUAAAAAUAAAAAAUAUAAUAUUCAAGUAAUUAGCUCAAGUGAGUUUAAUAAACUCUGUUAAUUUAAUAAUAUCAUUAGAAAAUAAGAUAUCGACAA
rnacentral:lncRNA from 1 species